rnacentral:lncRNA from 1 species
CAACACUCUAAAACCAAACACAUAGCACUGAGGUAUCACUUCAUCAAAGAUCAUGUGGAAGAUGGAAACGUCGAAGUUCACUUCGUAAGAACCACUGAUCAACUGGCUGACGUCUUUACCAAAGCUCUUCCUGAAGCAUCAUUCAACAGAAUAUUGCAAGGGCUAGGUAUGAUGGAAUCAGAGUCAGUACCUCACACUACCUCUCAACCUCAAACGUAAGAAGCGAAAUUGACCGAACGCUCAGGUUCGGUUAAAUAAUCUGACUCGCUCAUCACCACAAAGGUAGUUUUCUUGAUUGUAUAUUUCUUGUACAAAGUUGUUUAUCUUAUUGUUAAAAGUAUUUUCUGAUUGAAUGUCUAAAUUCCUUGGUUUCUUAAAAUUUUCCAAAACCGAAACCUACCGAAGGUUCGGGUUCGGUUUCUUAAAAUUUUCCAAAACCGAAACCUACCGAAGGUUCGGGUUCGGUUUCUCAAAAUUUUCCAAAACCGAAACCUACCGAAGGUUCGGGUUCGGUUUUUCAAAAUUUUCUUGAACCGAAACCAACCGAACGCUCGGGUUCGGUUUUUCAAAAUUUUCUGGAACCGAAACCAACCGAACGCUCGGGUUCGGUUUUUCAACUUUUUCCCAACCGAACGUUCGGGUUCGGUUUUUCAUUUUUUUCCAAGUUUUUUUUAAGUCUUAUUUUUUUUCUUUCUUACUUAU